GCCAGGUGUGGUGGCGGGCACCUGUAAUCCCAGCUAUUAGGGAGGCUGAGGCAUGAGAAUCGCUUGAGUCCGGGAGGCCGAGGUUGCAGUGAGCCGAGAUCAGGCCACUGCACUCCAGCCUGGGUGACAAAGCAAGACCCUGUCUCAA
rfam:Nomascus leucogenys chromosome X, whole genome shotgun sequence.